rnacentral:rRNA from 1 species
AGUGAACGCUGGCGGUAGGCCUAACACAUGCAAGUCGAACGGCAGCACAGUAAGAUCUUGCUCUUACGGGUGGCGAGUCGCGGACGGGUGAGGAAUACAUCGGAAUCUACUUUUUCGUGGGGGAUCACGUAGGUAAACUUACUCUAAUACCGUAUAUGCCCUACGGGUGAAAGCAGGGGAUCUUCGCACCUUGCGCGAUUGAAUGCGCCGAUGUUGGAUUAGCUAGUUGGCGGGGUCAUGGCCCACCAAGGCGACGAUCCGUAGCUGGUCUGAGAGGAUGAGCAGCCACACUGGAACUGAGACACGGUCCAGACUCCUACGGGAGGCAGCAGUGGGGAAUAUUGGACAAUGGGCGCAAGCCUGAUACAGCCAUACCGCGUGGGUGAAGAAGGCCUUCGGGUUGUAAAGCCCUUUUGUUGGGAAAGAAAAGCAGCAGGUUAAUACCCAGCUGUUCUGACGGUACCCAAAGAAGAAGCACCGGCUAACUACGUG